UACGUAGGGUCCGAGCGUUGUCCGGAAUUACUGGGCGUAAAGAGCUCGUAGGUGGUUUGUCGCGUUGUUCGUGAAAACUCACAGCUCAACUGUGGGCGUGCGGGCGAUACGGGCAGACUAGAGUACUGCAGGGGAGACUGGAAUUCCUGGUGUAGCGGUGGAAUGCGCAGAUAUCAGGAGGAACACCGGUGGCGAAGGCGGGUCUCUGGGCAGUAACUGACGCUGAGGAGCGAAAGCGUAGGGAGCGAACAGG
rnacentral:rRNA from 1 species